UCCAGUUGAGUAGUCUCUCAAGACGGCUCGUCGAUUUGAAUGUGGAGGGGUGCAGGGCUAGUCCAGCUGUAGAUAGGGCAAUUAUGGCAAUACGUUUAUCCAACUAUCUUUUGAUUGUUUAUGCCGUCAUCUUUACAUGUAUACACGAUGCUUGGUGUGUGGGAACUUGAUGGCAGUAACGUUAACGCCGUUUGCUUAGAGCUCAGCCAACUAAUGUUCGCUGUCUGGUCAACCUCAACACGUGGUGCGGUAGCAUGUGCUAGCCUGCAGCAAUUGACUGAAUUGACAGUGGGUAGGUGAUUUGGGCCUGAACAUCUUAUAGUUGACUGAAUUGACAGUGGGUAGGUGAUUUGGGCCUGAACAUCUUAUAGUUGACUGAAUUGACAGUUGGUAUGGGAUUUGGACCUAAGCAUCUUAAACAUCUUAUAGUUGACUGAAUUGACAGUUGGUAUGGGAUUUGGACCUAAGCAUCUUAAACAUCUUAUAGUUGACUGAAUUGACAGUUGGUAUGGGAUUUGGACCUAAGCAUCUUAAACAUCUUAUAGUUGACUGAAUUGACAGUGGGUAGGUGAUUUGGGCCUGAACAUCUUAUAGUUGACUGAAUUGACAGUUGGUAUGGGAUUUGGACCUAAGCAUCUUAAACAUCUUAUAGUUGACUGAAUUGACAGUUGGUAUGGGAUUUGGACCUAAGCAUCUUAAACAUCUUAUAGUUGACUGAAUUGACAGUUGGUAUGGGAUUUGGACCUAAGCAUCUUAAACAUCUUAUAGUUGACUGAAUUGACAGUGGGUAGGUGAUUUGGGCCUGAACAUCUUAUAGGAAAAGCUGCAUCCAGGUAGUCCCUGCUUUGUUAUGGCUCAAUUGGAAUGGUUGCAGUGUCUUAUGUUGAUGCAAUAAAUUGUGAAGGAGA